CCUCACAGUUUCUUCGAAUUGACACACCUCCGUUUCCUCAUUUCAUUCUAAUUAAUUCUAAAGACUUCUGUAGAAUAUAUGUCUACCCUAGGGGAAAAUUCGAGCAAUUAUUAGGCAGUUAACUGAACUAAAUAUAUCCUAAAAGGACUAUAUGUCCGUCCCAUCUGAGUUGAGUACAAGAAACAUGCRGAGUUGAGUACAAGAAACAUGCGGAGGUCACACCUUGGCGCAGCCGAUUAGCCACGUGUGGGAUACCAUAUUCACAAUAUGAAUGGUGUGAUUGAGAAUACUUCAAAAUGAGAAGAUCCUGCCAUGGAAAAGACGACUGGGUGGACAUAAAGUGGAAAGGAGGGGAAAUAACUCACACCAUGCAGCAGGACACCUUCAGCUGUGGGGUCUUUGUAAUGCAGUUGUGUGGGACAGCCAUAUGUUCAGAGUUCAACAAAGUCAACAACUGCUUCAUGUGGGCCACUGAUAAAGAUCCUGGAUGUGGCCCAAAGACUGACUGGAUUGAAUGUUUUGCAUGCCAACGGUGGUUCCGUGUGCUGUGUCUAGGAAUGAAAACAAAAGAGUUCAGCGUGAAGAACACAAACUGGAAGUGCUGUUUUUGUUGUUGAAAAUGUAUGCUAUCCCCUAUCCACACUGACGAGGCUCUGAAAUGUACAUCAACCAGGGAUAAAGAGAAAGUUAACACUG